rnacentral:SRP_RNA from 1 species
GCCGGGUGUGGUGGCGGACACCUGUAAUCCCAGCUACUUGGGAGGCUGAGGCAGGAGAAUCGCUUGAACCUGGGAGGCGGAGGUUGCAGUGAGCCAAGAUCGUGCCAUUGCACCCCAGCCUAGGCGACAGAGCAAGACUCUGUCUCAA